UAAUUUUUUUUGUAAAACUUUACCUUUUAUGCUGCCAUUAGCAAACAUUAGUAUUUAUAACAUAAUAAAUUAUAAUAUGGAGGAUAAAAGGACACCUUUAAGGGAGGAUUAAUUUUUAUUUAAGGAUUAAUUAUUAAAUUGAUUCCAUAUGACUGGACCUAAGGAAUCAGGGAGACUUUAUUGUCAAAUCGCCUACCUUUCUUAAUGAUGAUCCAAGCCCACCACCUACGGAAUGAGGAGCUAUAGAGACUCAGGAAACAAGCUAAUCGCCAGGAUAUGAUGCAAACGCGCAUCAUCACACAUAGGAGAGCAGCCAUUGCAGAGGGUGGACUGUUUUGUCUCGAACACCCUGUAUAAGAACUAGAACUGUGAGCUGCCUCGAUAGUAUCGUACCAUCACAAAAU